rnacentral:rRNA from 1 species
UACGUAGGGGGCGAGCGUUGUCCGGAGUUACUGGGCGUAAAGGGCUCGUAGGCGGCCAACUAAGUCAGACGUGAAAUCCCUCGGCUUAACCGGGGAACUGCAUCUGAUACUGGAUGGCUUGAGUUCGGGAGAGGGAUGCGGAAUUCCAGGUGUAGCGGUGAAAUGCGUAGAUAUCUGGAGGAACACCGGUGGCGAAGGCGGGUCUCUGGGCCGAUACUGACGCUGAGGGGCGAAAGCGUGGGGAGCGAACAGG